rnacentral:rRNA from 1 species
AUUGAACGCUGGCGGCAGGCCUAACACAUGCAAGUCGAACGGUAACAGGAAACAGCUUGCUGUUUCGCUGACGAGUGGCGGACGGGUGAGUAAUGUCUGGGAAACUGCCUGAUGGAGGGGGAUAACUACUGGAAACGGUAGCUAAUACCGCAUAACGUCGCAAGACCAAAGAGGGGGACCCUCGGGCCUCUUGCCAUCGGAUGUGCCCAGAUGGGAUUAGCUUGUUGGUGGGGUAACGGCUCACCAAGGCGACGAUCCCUAGCUGGUCUGAGAGGAUGACCAGGCACACUGGAACUGAGACACGGUCCAAGCUCCUACGGGAGGCAGCAGUGGGGAAAAUUGGACAAUGGGGGCAAGCCUGAUGCAACCAUGGCGCGUGUAUGAAGAAGGCCUUCGGGUUGGAAAGUACUUUCAGCGGGGAGGAAGGGAGUAAAGUUAAUACCUUUGCUCAUUGACGUUACCCGCAGAAGAAGCACCGGCUAACUCCGUG